UCCGAAUUGGUGUAUCGGUAACAUAUCCGCCUCUCAUCUAAGACGUUAGAUCGCGGUUGCGCGGGGUUCGAUUCCCCGAUUCGGAG
rnacentral:tRNA from 1 species